ACUCCUACGGGAGGCAUCAGUGGGGAAUAUUGGACAAUGGGCGAAAGCCUGAUCCAGCCAUGCCGCGUGUGUGAAGAAGGUCUUCGGAUUGUAAAGCACUUUCAGUCGUGAGGAAGGUAGUGUAGUUAAUAGCUGCAUUAUUUGACGUUAGCGACAGAAGAAGCACCGGCUAACUCCGUGCCAGCAGCCGCGGUAAUACGGAGGGGUGCGAGCGUUAAUCGGAAUUACUGGGGCGUAAAGCGCAUGCAGGUGGUUUUGUUAAGUCAGAUGUGAAAGCCCGGGGGCUCAACCUCGGAAUAGCAUUUGAAACUGGCAGACUAGAGUACUGUAGAGGGGGUAGAAUUUCAGGUGUAGCGGUGAAAUGCGUAGAGAUCUGAAGGAAUACCGGUGGCGAAGGCGGCCCCCUGGACAGAUACUGACACUCAGAUGCGAAAGCGUGGGGAGCAAACAGGAUUAGAUACCCUGGUAGGAUAGCG
rnacentral:rRNA from 1 species